UACUCCUACGGGGAGGCAGCAGUGGGGAAUAUUGCACAAUCGGGGGAAACCCUGAUGCAGCCAUGCCGCGUGUGUGAAGAAGGCCUUCGGGUUGUAAAGCACUUUCAGUAGGGAGGAAGGUAGUGUAGUUAACACCUGCAUUAUUUGACGUUACCUACAGAAGAAGCACCGGCUAACUCCGUGCCAGCAGCCGCGGUAAUACGGAGGGUGCGAGCGUUAAUCGGAAUUACUGGGCGUAAAGCGCAUGCAGGCGGCCUGUUAAGUCAGAUGUGAAAGCCCGGGGCUUAACCUCGGAAUUGCAUUUGAAACUGGCAGGCUAGAGUCUUGUAGAGGGGGGUAGGAAUUUCAGGUGUAGCGGUGAAAUGCGUAGAGAUCUGAAGGAAUACCAGUGGCGAAGGCGGCCCCCUGGACAAAGACUGACGCUCAGAUGCGAAAGCGUGGGGAGCAAACAGGAUUAGAUACCCUGGUAG
rnacentral:rRNA from 1 species